AUCGCUUCUUGGCCUUUUGGCUAAGAUCAAGUGUAGUAACAUCAUCCUCAGCCCCAAACAAGUCUAAUGGCAUAAUGGAUCACUUUGAAGAGUUUUUAAGAAGAAUUAAUUUAACUGGCAAUUUUUCUAAAGGUGAACUUUAGAAUUAAAGAAAAGCUGACAAUCAAAAUUCUUUCUCCAUUUUGGUACUGAAUUUCAUGUCUUUCUAAUGCAGAAGACCAUCU
rnacentral:snRNA from 1 species